CUCAGGUUUAUUUGUACAAAUAGCACAGGAGGUGAGGACCCCAGCCCCAUGCAGACGGCAGCCUGGGCAGGUUGCACCAGUCCUUGUGUCCUCACGUUGGCAGGCAGAUACCUACUCUGAAGCCUUUGUAGGAGCCUGAGCACCUUUGCGAACCUGAGCUGGAACUGAAGCUGGAGUUGCAGCCUGGGCCUUGGUUUGAUCCUUGUCCUUGUCGUUUGGCCGGCACAACCCAAGCCCCUUGGCAAUGCGGGCACAAGCACGCUUCCCAAGCUUGGGGUGGGCAAUGUAGGCAAGUCGAUGGAGCUUGCUGCUGACACCCUUUGGGAUCUUGGGCUUAACCUCCUUUACAAGGGCCUUCAUAGCCUCACCACGUGGACUGAUGGCCUGCCAAAGCCUGCAUCUUCUUUAGGCCCUUCUUGUUUUGCUUCUUGGCAAUGCACAUGUUCCUCAGGAAUUUGGGGUCCACCCCCUUGAGAGAGUCAUAUCUUUGUGAUCGGGUUUCUUAAUACCAUUUCUGUGCCAUUUUCGGGAAUGUUGUGUGUGGUGUGGUUCUUGGACUUGGCCAUGUCUGCACCCUAAGC
rnacentral:lncRNA from 1 species